rnacentral:rRNA from 1 species
AAUGAACGCUAGCGGCAGGCCUAACACAUGCAAGUCGAGGGGUAGCAGGAUUAAGCUUGCUUAAUUGCUGACGACCGGCGCACGGGAGCGUAACGCGUAUGCAACCUACCUUAUACUGGGGUAUAGCCCGGAGAAAUUCGGAUUAAUCCCCCAUAGUACUAAUGAAUCGCAUGGUUUAUUAGUUAAAGCAUUGCGGUAUAAGAUGGGCAUGCGUCCUAUUAGCUAGAUGGUGAGGUAACGGCUCACCAUGGCUACGAUAGGUAGGGGGCCUGAGAGGGUGGUCCCCCUCACUGGUACUGAGACACGGACCAGACUCCUACGGGAGGCAGCAGUGAGGAAUAUUGGUCAAUGGGCGCAAGCUUGAACCAGCCAUGCCGCGUGCAGGAAGAAUGCCCUAUGGGUUGUAAACUGCUUUUAUUUGGGAAUAAACCUCUUUACGUGUAGAGAGCUGAAGGUACCAAAUGAAUAAGCACCGGCUAACUCCGUGCCAGCCGCCGCCGUAA